UACGGAGGGGGCUAGCGUUGUUCGGAAUUACUGGGCGUAAAGCGCACGUAGGCGGCUUUGCAAGUCAGAGGUGAAAGCCCAGGGCUCAACCCUGGAAUUGCCUUUGAGACUGCAUCGCUAGAACACGGGAGAGGUAAGCGGAAUUCCGAGUGUAGAGGUGAAAUUCGUAGAUAUUCGGAAGAACACCAGUGGCGAAGGCGGCUUACUGGACCGUUGUUGACGCUGAGGUGCGAAAGCGUGGGGAGCAAAC
rnacentral:rRNA from 1 species